rnacentral:rRNA from 1 species
AGUGAACGCUGGCGGUAUGCCUAACACAUGCAAGUCGAACGGCAGCACAGUAAGAGCUUGCUCUUACGGGUGGCGAGUGGCGGACGGGUGAGGAAUACAUCGGAAUCUACUUUUUCGUGGGGGAUAACGUAGGGAAACUUACGCUAAUACCGCAUACGACCUACGGGUGAAAGCAGGGGAUCUUCGGACCUUUCGCGAUUGAAUUAGCCGAUGUCGGAUUAGCUAGUUGGCGGGGUAAAGGCCCACCAAGGCGACGAUCCGUAGCUUGUCUGAGGUGAUGAUGAGCCCCACUGGAACUGAGACACGGUACAGACUCUUAGGGGAGGGACGAGGGGGGAAUUGUGGAAAAAGGGGGGAAUCUUGAUCAAGCCAAUCGGGGUGGGUGAAGAAGGCCUGCGGUUGGUAAAGCCCUUUUGUUGGGAAAAAAAGAGAGCGGGUUAAAACCACGCUUUUGUAGGGGAACCAAAAAAAAAAGAACCGCUAAAUUUGGU